GACGAACGCUGGCGGCGUGCUUAACACAUGCAAGUCGAACGGAAAGGCCCUGCUUUUGUGGGGUGCUCGAGUGGCGAACGGGUGAGUAACACGUGAGUAACCUGCCCUUGACUUUGGGAUAACUUCAGGAAACUGGGGCUAAUACCGGAUAGGAGCCCCUGCUGCAUGGUGGGGGUUGGAAAGUUUCGGCGGUUGGGGAUGGACUCGCGGCUUAUCAGCUUGUUGGUGGGGUAGUGGCUUACCAAGGCUUUGACGGGUAGCCGGCCUGAGAGGGUGACCGGCCACAUUGGGACUGAGAUACGGCCCAGACUCGUACGGGAGGCAGCAGUGGGGAAUAUGGCACAAUGGGCGGAAGCCUGAUGCAGCAACGCCGCGUGCGGGAUGACGGCCUUCUGGUUGUAAACCGCUUUCGCCUGUGACGAAGCUUGAGUGACGGUAAUGGGUAAAGAAGCACCGGCUAACUACGUG
rnacentral:rRNA from 1 species